GAAUGAAAUGAGGAUCAUUGUUGUUUUUGAUUGCCUCGAUGAUGGCAACUAUUGUAUUAGCUCUAUCUGAUCAUUC